rnacentral:lncRNA from 1 species
AAGAUGAUGAUGAUGGGACAGUGAUGGUGACGGUGAUGUCACAGAGAGGCAAGAAAGGAAAGGAAGAGGAAAAGAAGGGGAGAGGGAAGAGAAAACAGAGAAGGUGCACGAAGAAGGGCGAGGAAAAAAUCUAGUUGUUUUUAGACAUUAGUCUAGGCAAAUGCCACGUCUCCACACAUCUCCUGAGUCCUGGAGCCAUGCCCCCAACCUCUUAAGUUCUUUUUUAUUUUUAGCUCCAGCAAUCAAGAUUCAGGCUUAAGCUCAAAGUCCAUUUCAGCAUAGUUCACUAAGUUACUUCACGUGAGACGAUCUGAUUAAGUGCAUUGUCCCUUUUCUUUACUUAAUCUUUACAAAAAGCCAUCAGAAAUACUCCUCUAUGCACUGCAUAUGAUAGAGACAAUGCCAUGGCUGAAGCAGACCCUGGAACAGAUGAAGAUGAGCUUCAGAGGAGGAUGAGCUGCCACCACCUUCCCUUCUCAGAGCCACUGCUGAGCAAUGGAGCAUCUGUCCUUGCGAGAGGUGUUGGAGGGCAGGAGCAACCUUACCUGUUCCAACAUCUUUCGAAGCAGCAUGCCUUAAAAUUUGGAGAAAUUGUAAAUAAUGGGGUAGAGCCACUCACCGGAGGUGUGAACAAGCUGCCAAAUUGCUCUUCAAUUUUUAAAUUACUUUGACACAAGCAGCAACCACGACAAAGAUAAGCUUAGUACUUGUCAAACCGCAAGUGCACUGUAAGAAGAUUCAGAGAGGAUUUCGUGUAUGGCAUGCCACAGUCUGACUGGAAGCCGAACAGCAGUCGUGAGCAUACCUGGCAUUAAGGGAAAUUAUUAAAACUCUAUGAUUUGAAAUGGAUGGUUUGCUUCCUUUUCCUUAUCCUACCAGAUUCUACUGACCAAUAAUUUGAGUCCAUCCAUUUAUCCACUGUACCAGGAUAAGGUUUCCUAAGGGAAACCUUAGGAAACAGUUUAAACAGUUCCUAGAAUGGACUCUCAUUCCUUGCUUUCUUCCUGCCAGCUUCUCUUCACAUGCACUAUGUUUUUUAAAUACCUACCAUAAGGUACUCUCUGUGAUAACUUAUGUGAAUACAAAGGCAAAUAUGACCCAGUCUCUGACCUCAAGCAUUUCUGUUCUAGAUGGGAAGCAAGAAAUUAAGUUUUCUCCUGCUGUCUUCUCUGUGCUCCUAAGGCAGACCCUACAUAAUUGCAUUAUAACAACACAGUGCAUCAUAAUUGUUUCAAGUAUUAUCAAUAUUGCCUAAUGCGCUUCUUCUACCUAUUCUGUCUACAGACCUCACCACUCUGAUUGGAAGGAGGAGUCUGUGACUCAGACCUGGCCCAUCACAGUAAAACAUCCCUUGGUAACACAAGUAAUUCAGGAAUGUCCAUAUAACCCAAACCAUACAAGCUGGAAGCACUCUCUAAGUAUUUUCUGCUGGAACUAAGAACAGAGAGGUUUUUGUUUUUUUCUCUUGCAUGUAGUAAACUAUGAGAAUGUGACUCAACAUGACAGCACAUUUACUGUCGUAUGGAUAACACAUGAGAAUAAAGACGAUUUUUGAGAGAAAAGUAGUGAUGAGAAACAGACAAAAAGAUAUCUUGCAACAUCAAGUCACUUAUUCCUGUCUCAGAUAUACCUGGAUUUCUAUAGUUAAUAUUUAUAACAUUGUUUGUUCGCUUAAGUUACAUCAGGUUGAGAUCUUGACACCCCAAACUGAAGGAACACUGGCUAGUAAUUGGAAUUGGCAUUAGAAGUAGGGACAACGACUUUGAAAACUGAAAUGCGGAAGUGGCUUUUGUCAAGAUGAGAUAGGGGCAUCUUCAUUAAUCACUCUCCACUCCCCUCACCUACUUCGCUAGGAGGACAUAUUUUGUUGCAAAGCUGUACGGCAUUGGGUUACAGGUUUCUUGUGGUAUCCUGAAACUUCGACCAUGUGCCUAACAAAACCAGAAUCUCAGUGACUUAGUAGAAAAAUGUGAUAUCAGCCUGUAGGCUCUGUUCUUCGUUCUUCAGUAAAUUUCAACAACAAAAAGACAAAUUGAUUUAUCUAAAAUCACAAAAAAACCUGUAGGCAUUUCUACAUAAAAAGUUCUUUCUAGACAGCCUCAGCAAUGCUAAACUGGAACAGUCAAGGCAGUAAAGUCCUCUGUAGAACUGGAAAACUAAGUGUUUUACCCCAUGGUAAAGUUAGUUUAAGCAAAAACGGGGUAGUGAGAAAUGUGGAAGAUUAGAU